CGCGGGAUGGAGCAGUCCGGUAGCUCGUCAGGCUCAUAACCUGAAGGUCGUAGGCUCAAAUCCUACUCCCGCAACCA
rnacentral:tRNA from 1 species